rnacentral:rRNA from 1 species
CCUACGGGAGGCAGCAGUGAGGAAUAUUGGUCAAUGGGCGCGAGCCUGAACCAGCCAAGUAGCGUGAAGGAUGACUGCCCUACGGGUUGUAAAUUUCUUUUAUAAAGGAAUAAAGUGAGGCACGUGUGCCUUUUUGUAUGUACUUUAUGAAUAAGGAUCGGCUACAUCCGUGCCAGCAGCCGCGGUAAUCCUGAGGAUCCGAGCGUUAUCCGGAUUUAUUGGGUUUAAAGGGAGCGUAGAUGGGUUGUUAAGUCAGUUGUGAAAGUUUGCGGCUCAACCGUAAAAUUGCAAUUGAUACUGGCAGUCUUGAGUACAGUUGAGGUAGGCGGAAUUCGUGGUGUAGCGGUGAAAUGCUUAGAUAUCACGAAGAACUCCGAUUGCGAAGGCAGCUUACUAAACUGCCACUGACAUUGAUGCUCGAAAGUGUGGGUAUCAAACAGGAUUAGAUACCCCUGUAGUC